UGCGGCGGUUGCCAUGACCUUCGAUUCAAAAUCUCGGGUCGGGGGCGUGACAUACAUCGGCAGAACUUUCAUUAUUAACAAAAUUUUUUUUUACAUCAUAUUUUGCUAUCAUCAUAAAAAUGACGAUAGCAUCAUUAUGAGAGGUUUGGAUUCUCUUUAUAUUAUUUUUAGAAAAAUAAAUAACAUCUUCAAUUCUUUACCUCUUGAGGGACAGGUCAUCAGUGUCAAGCAAGAUAUUGGAUAUCAUAUUAAUAAUUCCAGCAGU
rnacentral:lncRNA from 1 species